rnacentral:lncRNA from 1 species
UGUACAUGUCCAGCUUGUUAAUGUUCCAGUCUAACAGAGAGGAAUUCCUCCUGUAAGGAUCCAGUUUUCAAAGAUACACAGGAACUGUUUUGAACAGACAGCUGACAGUUGGUUCUGGUAAAUGGCAACAAUGCUACAACUACCAAAUAAAAUGCUGGACAGACUGACAGAAGAUAUCUCUUCAUCUUAGAAGCUGACUCUUACAUGAAUCUGGCAACCACA